rnacentral:tRNA from 1 species
GCCCUCGUGGCCUAAUGGAUAAGGCAUCGGUCUCCUAAACCGGGGAUUGCGGGUUCGAUCCCGCCGAGGGUA